UGUAUUAUUGUUAUUAAUGUUAUUAAAUGAAGUUGCAAUCCUUGUUUCUACGAGUGAAAUAAAUGUCGUUCAAUUCUUUCUAUGAUCAAAAGCUCUAUACAAAAUUCUUGCUGAUUAUUAAUCCAUUAAACCUAGUUAAUCUGUAGAUCAAUGUUAAUCCAUUAAUUACAUCCAAUUAACAUGUUGAUCUAUACGAUAUUUUAGAAACUCUUUAAUGUAUAAUUUUAUCCUUAUGUAGUUAAACAGUCUAACAAUGGGUCACUUUCAGAUUCUGUUUAUAAUUGUGUUACUCAACCUGAUUAUUAAACGGGUCAAGCUAGGUCAAGCUGGAUCAAGUGGGUCAGCCUCUAAACCUGAACCAGGGCAUUUAAUAAACAUGUAGUCUUGUUCCCCCAUUUUAUGACCAGAAAGAGAUUAUAUCCAAUCGAAAUCCACUAAUUUUGUGCCUAGUUCCUGUUGGACUGACAGGUUGGAUCAGGGAUUGGCACUCCUUAAUUCAUGUAAUCACAUUAUGCUUCUUGCAUGCAUACAAACCCC
rnacentral:lncRNA from 1 species